rnacentral:rRNA from 1 species
GAUGAACGCUAGCUACAGGCUUAACACAUGCAAGUCGAGGGGCAGCAUGGUCUUAGCUUGCUAAGGCCGAUGGCGACCGGCGCACGGGUGAGUAACACGUAUCCAACCUGCCGUCUACUCUUGGACAGCCUUCUGAAAGGAAGAUUAAUACAAGAUGGCAUCAUGAGUCCGCAUGUUCACAUGAUUAAAGGUAUUCCGGUAGACGAUGGGGAUGCGUUCCAUUAGAUAGUAGGCGGGGUAACGGCCCACCUAGUCUUCGAUGGAUAGGGGUUCUGAGAGGAAGGUCCCCCACAUUGGAACUGGGACACGGUCCAAACUCCUACGGGAGGCAGCAGUGAGGAAGAUUGGUCAAUGGGCGCAGGCCUGAACCAGCCAAGUAGCGUGAAGGAUGACUGCCCUAUGGGUUGUAAACUUCUUUUAUAAAGGAAUAAAGUCGGGUAUGUAUACCCGUUUGCAUGUACUUUAUGAAUAAGGAUCGGCUAACUCCGUG